rnacentral:rRNA from 1 species
CCUACGGGAGGCAGCAGUGGGGGAUAUUGCACAAUGGGGGAAACCCUGAUGCAGCGACGCCGCGUGUAGGAAGACGGUCCUCUGGAUUGUAAACUACUGUCCCCAGGGACGUAGUUGACGGUACCUGGUGAGGAACCCCCGGCUAACUACGUGCAAGCAGCCGCGGUAAUACGUAGGGGGAGGCGGUUGUCCGGUAUAACUGGGUGAAAGGGGACCGUGGGCGCGGAUGCAGGCUGGGUUGUAAAGCCACCGGCUAAACUGGGAGUCGCACUCAAAACUGCAGCUCUUGAGUGAAGUAGAGGCAGGCGGAAUUCCUAGUGUAGCGGUGAAAUGCGUAGAUAUUAGGAGGAACACCAGUGGCGAAGGCGGCCUGCUGGGCUGUUACUGACGUUGAGGCUCGAAAGUGUGGGGAGCAAACAGGAUUAGAUACCCUUGUAGUC